CAUUUGAAAAUCAAAUUCUAACUAAAAAAUCAUGGAAACAAUAAUUAAUAAAUCUAGCUUUUAGUAUUAUUUGUCUUUUCCUAUUUUAUUAUAUAUAUAUAUAUAUAUUUACGUGUUUGUAAAUAAUUAAUUAUAUAUUAUAUAUAUCAUAAUUAAAUACAUAUUAAUUAACUUACCUUUUAGAUUUUUUUCUUUUUAAUUAUCUACCUAGCUUUAAAUAGUUGAUGAACAUUAUUGUUUUAAAAGCUAUAUAAUUAUAUUUUUAUUAUAUACAAGUAAUAACUAAAAUAAAAGUCACAUAAAAAGAACGAUUUAUAUAAUUUAGAUUAUCGCUUAUACAAAUAAAUAUGUAUUUAAAAAAAUAAAAAUAAAAAUAAACAUCCGCGCAGAUCAAGCUCCAUUUUAAAUCUAAAACAGAAGUCAAGCUACAAAAUAAAAUCAUACAUAAAAAUACAAAUAGAUACCAUAAAAUAACAAUAACAUAAAAUAAAUGUUACAACAAAGAUAAUUGCUUAAUAAUCUGAAAACUACUUCAAGAUCCACAAAAAUCAUUAAAAUAUUGUCCAAACGAUGUAGAUGGUGGAAGAGCUUCUUGUUGAAGACUGAUUUUGUAAAAUCCGUG
rnacentral:lncRNA from 1 species